AUUGAACGCUGGCGGCAUGCCUUACACAUGCAAGUCGAACGGUAACGCGGGGCAACCUGGCGACGAGUGGCGAACGGGUGAGUAAUAUAUCGGAACGUGCCCAAUAGAGGGGGAUACCAGUUGGAAACGACUGUUAAUACCGCAUAAUGUCUACGGACCAAAGUGUGGGACCUUCGGGCCACAUGCUAUCGGAUGCGCCUACGUGGGAUUAGCUAGUUGGUGAGGUAAUGGCUCACCAAGGCGACGAUCUCUAGCUGGUUUGAGAGGAUGAUCAGCCACACUGGAACUGAGACACGGUCCAGACUCCUACGGGAGGCAGCAGUGGGGAAUAUUGGACAAUGGGCGCAAGCCUGAUCCAGCCAUGCCGCGUGUGUGAAGAAGGCCUUAGGGUUGUAAAGCACUUUCAGCGAGGAGGAAGGGGUUGUAGUUAAUAGCUGCAAUCUUUGACGUUACUCGCAGAAGAAGCACCGGCUAACUCUGUG
rnacentral:rRNA from 1 species